GUCGAGCGGCAAGGGCCUUCGGGCCCCUAGAGCGGCGGACGGGUGAGUAACACGUGGACAAUCUGCCCCCCGGUCCGGGAUAGCCCAGGGAAACCUGGAUUAAUACCGGAUGCGAGCGCGGCCACACAAGUGGUUGCGGGGAAAGGCGCUUCGGCGCCGCCGGGGGAUGAGUCCGCGGCCCAUUAGCUAGACGGCGGGGUAAAGGCCCACCGUGGCGACGAUGGGUAGCCGGCCUGAGAGGGUGAUCGGCCACAUUGGAACUGAGACACGGUCCAGACUCCUACGGGAGGCAGCAGCUAAGAAUCUUCCGCAAUGGGCGAAAGCCUGACGGAGCGACGCCGCGUGAACGAUGAAGGCCGUGAGGUUGUAAAGUUCUUUUCGGGAGGAGGAAUAAGCGGGGCAGGAAAUGGCCUUGCGAUGACGUGAAUCCCGGAAUAAGCCCCGGCUAACUACGUGCCAGCAGCCGCGGUAACACGUAGGGGGCGAGCGUUGUUCGGAAUCAUUGGGCGUAAAGGGCGUGCAGGCGGCCCUGCAAGUCCGGCGUGAAAUGCCCCGGCUCAACCGGGGAGACGCGCUGGAAACUGCGGGGCUGGAGUACAGGAGGGGAUGCCGGAAUUCCAGGUGUAGGGGUGAAAUCUGUAGAUAUCUGGAGGAACACCAAUGGCGAAGGCAGGCAUCUGGCCAUGUACUGACGCUGAGACGCGAAGGUGCGGGGAGCAAACAGGUUUAGAUACCCUGGUAGUCCGCACAGUAAACGAUGUGCACCAGGUGGCGGGGGGUCGACCCCCGGUACCGAAGCUAACGCAUUAAGUGCACCGCCUGGGGAGUAUGCUCGCAAGGGUGAAAC
rnacentral:rRNA from 1 species